UACGGAGGGGGCGAGCGUUGUCCGAAGUUACUGGGCGUAAAGGGCGCGUAGGCGGGAAGCUAAGUCCGCUGUCAAAGCCCGGGGCUUAACCCCGGAAGGUCGGUGGAGACUGGUUUUCUUGAAGCUGCCAGGGGGAGAUGGAAUUACCGGUGUAGCGGUGGAAUGCGUAGAUAUCGGUAGGAACACCGGUGGCGAAGGCGGAUCUCUGGGCCUUACCUGACGCUCAGGUGCGAAAGCUAGGGGAGCGAACAGG
rnacentral:rRNA from 1 species